rnacentral:piRNA from 1 species
UAGGCAACCCCUUCGAAAGAGUUGUUUGAC